rnacentral:rRNA from 1 species
CACACACACCUGUGAACCUAUUGUAAGGGCCCGUGAAAAGGCCUUUACGUUUUAUCAUCAACCCACUGUAUGUCUCAUAGAAUGUAAAUCUAUAUCCUCGCCCUAAAAAGCGUUGAUAAAACUUAUACAACUUUCAACAACGGAUCUCUUGGCUCUCGCAUCGAUGAAGAACGCAGCGAAAUGCGAUAAGUAAUGUGAAUUGCAGAUUUUCAGUGAAUCAUCGAAUCUUUGAACGCACCUUGCGCUCCUUGGUAUUCCGAGGAGCAUGCCUGUUUGAGUGUCAUUAAAUUCUCAACUCCGAUCGAUUUGUUUCGACUUCGGAGCUUGGACAUGGAGCGUGCCGGCGUCGGUCGGCUCCUCUUAAAUGCAUCAGCGGAAUCUAACGUUUUGGAUGUCAGUGUGAUAAUCAUGUUGCGCUGUCCUCCGAUCCGAAAAGCCCGCUCACAAUGGUCUUCGGACGACUUCAUAUC